rnacentral:rRNA from 1 species
AGUAACACGUGGAUAACCUACCUAUAAGACUGGGAUAACUUCGGGGAACCGGAGCUAAUACCGGAUAAUAUUUUGAACCGCAUGGUUCAAAAGUGAAAGACGGUCUUGCAGUCACUUAUAGAUGGAUCCGCGCUGCAUUAGCUAGUUGGUAAGGUAACGGCUUACCAAGGCAACGAUGCAUAGCCGACCUGAGAGGGUGAUCGGCCACACUGGAACUGAGACACGGUCCAGACUCCUACUGGAGGCAGCAGAA